UUUGGCAGAGAUAGUGCAAUAGAUCCACCUGAUACCAUACCGAACUCAGAAGUGAAAUGUUGUAACGCU
rnacentral:rRNA from 1 species